rnacentral:rRNA from 1 species
CCUACGAGAGGCAGCAGUGGGGAAUAUUGCACAAUGGGGGAAACCCUGAUGCAGCGACGCCGCGUGAGCGAUGAAGUAUUUCGGUAUGUAAAGCUCUAUCAGCAGGGAAGAAGAUGACGGUACCUGACUAAGAAGCCCCGGCUAACUACGUGCCAGCAGCCGCGGUAAUACGUAGAGGGCAAGCGUUAUCCGGAUUUACUGGGUGUAAAGGGAGCGUAGACGGCGAUGCAAGCCAGAUGUGAAAGCCCGGGGCUCAACCCCGGGACUGCAUUUGGAAAUGUGUGGCGUGAGUGUCGGAGAGGCAGGCGGAAUUCCUAGUGUAGCGGUGAAAUGCGUAGAUAUUAGGAGGAACACCAGUGGCGAAGGCGGCCUGCUGGACGAUGACUGACGUUGAGGCUCGAAAGCGUGGGGAGCAAACAGGAUUAGAUACUCGAGUAGUC